CAAAGAGACUGCGGCUGUGGUUGCUCACUGAUGGGGAUUGAAGGUUCUGAAGUUGUUACGCAAGAGCUUAUAAUCAGUGAAGAAUUGCUUUGAAGCCCAAUGUAAGGAAAUCUGUCCAACCACCAAUGACCGAAAGCAGCAAGAGAGCUCCAGCCACUUUAAAAAACAGGUCCGAGUUCUUCCCUAGUGCAAUAUCCAAAGAAACAGAAGAAAAUGCAUUUACCGGAC